rnacentral:rRNA from 1 species
AUUGAACGCUGGCGGCAGGCUUAACACAUGCAAGUCGAGCGGGGUGAUGGUGCUUGCACUAUCACUUAGCGGCGGACGGGUGAGUAAUGCUUAGGAAUCUGCCUAUUAGUGGGGGACAACAUCUCGAAAGGGAUGCUAAUACCGCAUACGUCUUACGGGAGAAAGCAGGGGAUCACUUGUGACCUUGCGCUAAUAGAUGAGCCUAAGUCGGAUUAGCUAGUUGGUGGGGUAAAGGCCUACCAAGGCGACGAUCUGUAGCGGGUCUGAGAGGAUGAUCCGCCACACUGGGACUGAAACACGGCCCAGACUCCUACGGGAGGCAGCAGUGGGGAAUAUUGGACAAUGGGGGGAACCCUGAUCCAGCCAUGCCGCGUGUGUGAAGAAGGCCUUAUGGUUGUAAAGCACUUUAAGCGAGGAGGAGGCUCUUUUGGUUAAUACCCAAGAUGAGUGGACGUUACUCGCAGAAUAAGCACCGGCUAACUCUGUGCCAGCCGCCGCAGUAA